CUUGCCUGUCUCGCUGCUGUGGCCGUCGCUGCCCCUCAGCUCCAGGAGCGAGUGGUCGAACUCCUUCGCGAUGAACGUGUAGUCAACGAAGACGGUACCUUCUCCUACGUCGUGGAAGCUGACAACGGCAUCAACACAGCCGUUUCUGGAAGCAUCGGAGCCGAAGGCCAGAUCAACCAGGAGGGAUCCUAUACCUUUAUCCUCGAGGACGGUACCCAGGCUAUUGUCUCUUUCGUGGCCAACGAGAACGGCUUCCAGCCCCAGUCCAGCAUCCUGCCCACUCCCCACCCUCUUCCUGAACACGUCUUUGAGCUGCUGGAAAUCGCAGAGCGUCAGCGCGCUGAGGGCAUUGUGUUCGAAUAAGGGAUGGAACCAGGAUUGAAGAUAUAUGGCAAUGAACUUGAUGUAAUAAAUCUUAGCACUA
rnacentral:lncRNA from 1 species